rnacentral:rRNA from 1 species
UGAGGAAUCUUCCGCAAUGGACGAAAGUCUGACGGAGCAACGCCGCGUGUAUGACGAAGGCCUUCGGGUUGUAAAGUACUGUCUUUGGGGACGAACGGUAUCUAUGUAAAUAAUGCAGAUACAUGACGGUACCCAAGGAGGAAGCCCCGGCUAACUACGUGCCAGCAGCCGCGGUAAUACGUAGGGGGCGAGCGUUGUCCGGAAUCAUUGGGCGUAAAGGGCGCGUAGGCGGGUCCAUUAAGUCUGGUGUAAAGGCAGGGGCUCACCCUGGAAGGCACCGGAACUGUAUCUUGAGGACAGGAGAGGAAAGCGGAAUUCCACAGUGUAGCGGUGAAAUGCGUAGAUAUGUGGAGGAACACCAGUGGCGAAGGCGGCUUUCUGGACUGUAACUGACGCU